AUUGAACGCUGGCGGCAUGCCUUACACAUGCAAGUCGAACGGCAGCACGGACUUCGGUCUGGUGGCGAGUGGCGAACGGGUGAGUAAUAUAUCGGAACAUACCUUGUAGUGGGGGAUAACUAUCCGAAAGGAUAGCUAAUACCGCAUACGCUCUAAGGAGGAAAGUGGGGGAUCGCAAGACCUCAUGCUAUAAGAGUGGCCGAUAUCUGAUUAGCUAGUUGGUGGGGUAAAGGCUCACCAAGGCAACGAUCAGUAGCUGGUCUGAGAGGACGACCAGCCACACUGGAACUGAGACACGGUCCAGACUCCUACGGGAGGCAGCAGUGGGGAAUUUUGGACAAUGGGGGCAACCCUGAUCCAGCAAUGCCGCGUGAGUGAAGAAGGCCUUCGGGUUGUAAAGCUCUUUUGUCAGGGAAGAAACGGUUGUGGCUAAUAUCCAUGGCUAAUGACGGUACCUGAAGAAUAAGCACCGGCUAACUACGUGCCAGCCGCCGCCGUAAUAC
rnacentral:rRNA from 1 species